rnacentral:rRNA from 1 species
AUGGGGGAUGGAAUUGUCCUGGAGCGCAUACUCUCCGGAUCUGAGAAACCAACCAAUCUGGCAUUAGCACUUUUACAGGAGAUUACAGAAAAUUUCUCUGAAAUGAGAAAAAUUGGCGAGGGCGGAUUUGGGGUGGUUUACAAGGGUGUGCUCCACAGUAGGAUUGUUGCCGUGAAGAGGAUAAUUAUGAGUGAACACACAAUCAACGACAGGUUAUUUGAUCGUGAGGUUAAAAGCUUGAUGAAGAUUAUUAGCCAUCGAAAUGUAGUCCGCUUUCUUGGCUUUUGUUCAAAUACACAUCGUGAAGCGAUAAAAGAGGCAGGAUCAACAGAAUUGGUUAUGGCCCAGAUAAGAGAAAGAUUACUUUGUUUUGAGUAUAUCAGCAAUGGAAGCCUUGAUAAACAUAUUACAGAUGAAUUAAGAGGACUUAAAUGGAGUAUACGGUAUGAAAUAAUUAAAGGAAUUUGUCAUGGUUUGCAUUACCUUCACGAGGAAAAUAAUAUUAUCCAUAUGGACCUCAAACCUAGCAAUAUAAUGAUAAAUGAUGAUAUGGUGCCAAAGAUAACAGAUUUUGGUCUAUCAAGACUUGAUAAACACACACACACCAGUGGUGCCCGUUUUAUAACACAGGGAUACUGUGCUCCAGAAUACGUGAAUGGUGGCAAGACGUCAAAAAAGGCUGACAUGUAUAGUUUGGGUGUUAUAAUCACGGAACUGGUAACGGGAUGUAGGGGUGAUCCAAAUAAUGUUAAUGUGCUUCGAAGGUGGAUACACAGGUGGGAUAAAUCACCGAAAGAUACGGUGCUGUCCCAAUACCAGCAAGUAACUAAAUGUUUGAAAAUUGCGGCACACUGCAGGAAAAAAGAACCAUCAAAUAGACCUUUUAUAUUGGAUAUAAUUUGUAUUCUCAAUGAAACUGAAGAAAACAUGAAUGAGCACAUUGACCAGAGAAACAAGAGAGUAUGUAGAGAGAUUGUGAGGUGGAAGAAGAAGCGGCGCUGCCAGAUACACCUUUACUCGGAUGACAUGCUUGGAAUUAUGCCGCUCGAACUACGGUUUCCUUUUGAGCUUCAUAAGUCAAUAUCAUCCAUAGUUGAGCUAAUCAACAAGACAAAAGGUUACUACGCCUUCAACAUCGAUACGCCAAGCCGACAAUACUGCACACAACCAAACAAAGGCAUUGUGUCACCACAAUCCAAGUUUGCUAUCCAAAUAACAAUGCAAGCACGGGAGAAUACACCACACGGUAUGCCAUACACCGACGUGUUUCUUGUGCAGAGCACAAAAGUCAACAGGGAGGUCAAAGCCGAGGAUAUCACUGAACACAUGUUCAUUAUAGAGCCGGAUGGACUAGAUGAGGUGAAUUUGACGGUUGUGGUAUAUGAUCCCGAGGAACCUAGGGGAGAUAUGAAGAUUCGAGAUGACACCAAGAAGAAAAAGAAUAAGAUUGUUGAGUAUGCUUUUAGCGAGAUCAAACCCAACAUCAAUGCAACUCAUCAAGAAGAGGCAGUUCCGAUGGGCAACAAUUCUAUUAGCUACAAAGAUACACGACGACAAUUUCCCAAGCAACUAGAGUGCCUUAGCUUCCACACAACUCCAAGUAUUUUGGGCAACCAACACAGCAAUAUGAGCAACAGAAUUGUGGAUCUUGCAACCGGGGCCAUGGGCAGCCUGCGCCACAAGCUUGGCGAUCUCCUCAACAAAGAGUACAAUCUAGAGAUAAGCGUGAAGAUAGACAUAGAGUCUUUAUCAGAAGAGCUGAGGGAGAUGCAGCUAGCCUUGUGCAAGGUGUCGGAGGUACAUCGGGACUACCUCGAUGACAAGGUCAAGCGCUGGGCUGACAGUGUCAGGGAGAUGUCAUAUGACAUUGAGGAUGUUGUUGAUGGAUUCCUGGUACACAUUGGGCAUGCCUCUGACAUGGGCCUCUUCAUGGGGCUCAUGCAUAGGAUGUUCAACCUCUUCACGUGGGGCAAGACUCACAAUCCGAUUGAAGACGCUAUCAAAGACAUCAAGAAACAAGUUCAGGUUGUGGCUGAUAGACGUGAAAGAUGCAAGGUUGAUGAAGUCAUGGCUAAUGUAGCUGACACUAUUACCUUUGAUCCUCGCAUUUUGGCUAUAUACAAAGAUCCAAAGGAGCUCGUUGGCAUCAAAGAGCCAAGAAACAAGCUAAUCAGGUGGCUCUCUAAUAAGGAUGGGGAUGGGAAUGUCUCAAAACCGCAACUCAAGAUAGUUUCGAUCGUCGGAUUUGGAGGAUUGGGCAAGACAACACUUGCCAAGGCAGUGUAUGACGAGCUUCAAUCCCAAUUCCAACAUAGAGCUUUUGUUUCAGUGGGUCGGAAUCCUAAUGUGAAGAAACUUUUUGAGCAUAUUCUAGAUAAAUUUGGCUAUGGUUCCAAGGAAGCAAAGUUAAACGAAAUGCAGCUCAUCGACAAAAUGCGAAGAUUGCUUCAGAACGACAGGUACUUCAUAGUAAUCGAUGAUAUAUGGGAUUCCCCGACGUGGAAUGUUAUUAAAUGUGCUUUUACAAAAGACGAUUGUGGCAGUAUUGUGACAUGCCUGCUUGAUAUUGGUAAGUAUCUAGAGGAUAGCGAGAUAAAAAAAGAGGAUUUGUUGAGGCAGUGGACAGCUCAAGGCUUUGUGAGUAAAACUCGUCUGCGUGAUGCAGAGGAUGUCGCAGAAGACUACUUCUAUAAGCUCAUCAACAUGAGCAUGAUCCAACCCGUGGAGAUAGACUACAAUGAUGAGGUGUUGUCUUGCAGAGUACAUGAUAUAAUGCUUGAUCUCAUUAGAUCCAAGGCUGCUGAAGAGAAUUUUAAUCUUGUUAUUGAUGGGCCAGAAGUUGUGACAGGAGAACAAAGAAGGGUCCGUCGAGUCUCCAUUCAGUACAAUGGUGAAGACGAUGGCGGAAUACUGGCAGCAAUCAAUGGGUCACUAUCACAUGUCCGGUCAGUCUUACUUUUAAGAGGGUCUCUUGUGCAUUCUUUUCUGGUGCUGAAGUUUAUCCGAGUUCUUUACAUUAUAGAUUGGAGAUGUGAGAGACUAGAUCUCACCGAUAUUCGUUGGUUGUUUCUACUAAGAUAUCUGAAGAUUUGUGUCAGGAAAGAUUUGAUCAUACCUAGUAAAAUUGGGGAGUUGCAGCAAUUGGAGACAAUAGAAAUUAAAGGGCGAACAUUUCUUCCAUCAGAUAUUGUUACUUUGCCUCGGUUGUCACAUCUCAGUUAUUCAAAUCAUGUGUUGUUGCCUGACGAAAUCGGAAGGUUGAAAUCUCUUCACACCUUGCGAGGUGUUGAUUUCAUUCAAAGCUCGGUAGAAAAUAUCAAGGGCCUUGGUGAGCUGACAAACUUAAGGGAACUUGAGAUGGCUUGGAAAUUUGUUAAGGGAGCGGUCAACAUGCGUGUUGAUGCCUUGUGCUCUUCCAUUGGAAAGCUUUCUUGCAGUCUCAGGAGCCUUAGUAUUGGGUCCAAAUGCCUUCAAGACCUAUGGGUCGAUGGCUGGAGCAGCACACUAACCCCACCUCGUCGUCUUCAUAAGCUUGAUCUGUAUAGAUGUGAAUUCCAAAAAAUCCCCCAAUGGAUUGCUCAGCUCCACGAGCUUGACAGUUUAACUCUUUCCGUCAGGGAGGCUGCUGAUGGUGUCAGUAUUGUUGCAGGGUUGCCUUCCCUUGCCUACCUAAGACUAUAUAUACGUUCGGUUGACAAAAGGGAAGAAAGGGUAAUCAUCUCCGGCAGGGAAUUCAGAGCACUCAAGCACAUGAAUUUGGAAUGUCCAUAUCUGUCGCUGGUCUUCCAAGUGGGGGCUCUGCCCAAGCUAGAGACGCUUUUGAUGCGAUGCCGUUACCACAUUUCUGCCGAAUUCGUACCGGUUGGCAUUGAGAACUUGCCAUCUGGCACUCUUCGUGAGAUUCGUUUAGUGGUGGCUGAUUGUUUUGGAGGUCAUGGUGACGACGAUAACGGCGACUACAAUGACAAAGCAGCUGUGAGGUCGCAGUUGAUGAGAUCAUUUUGGCCACAUCAUCCUUCUGCUAACAUCACCAUUGAAUUUCUUUCGGAGUUUAGGUUGUGA